GAAAUAAAUCUGUAUUGGUCCCAAGCGGCAAAGAAUUCUGGGUGAAGGGCCGAGCCUGAACGAACUUCACCCAGAGUGGACGUGAGGCGCACAGCCCUACACAGGGUCCAAGUCCCAUUCAGCCCUGAAGAAACAAAUAUGCAAAACCAACGGGCAGCUUGCACAGAGCACGGACCCUCCUCUGCCUGCAACCAGCACACAGCCUCACCCUAGGCAGGGCAGGUAUACUAUGAGAGGCUCUGCGGUGUCACCUGGAGUUCAAGGCCCUCUUACGUCAAAGGUCUCAGAGGCAAGACCUGAGCCAAGGCCAUUUGAGCACGCCUGGGCCGCUCGCUGGCUUCAGCCUUCAUCAGAUAGCUAAGAAGAUGGCCGGCUAAAGUCCCGGCCUUCCUGGAUUAAAACCCCUUGGCCCUUACCAACACUUAACGAUUUCCCUGCUGCCUGGUCUUAACCGAGCCUGGAUGGUGAGCCCUAGCCUGCGGUGCUCGGCAGGGCUGGAGUCAGGCCUGGAUAACCUCACCCUGGCGCGCUUCAGAAGCACUGCGGCAGCGGGGCAGAAGCAAAGAAUUCAGCGGAGCCGAGGGUCACUCUUUCCUUCAACUGGACUUCCCUGCCAGCCCACAGACACAACGAAUUACUUCUGCCUCUCAAGGCCUGAGUCUUAGGCCUCCUCCUCCAAGAAGCCAUCUCCACCCUUGAGCCCGAAGUUGCAUCUUGGCUCUUUGCAAGCAGCACGUCCCUCAUGGUCGGCGAGGAUUUCCUAACGUUCGCCAGUGCUUCCGGGCCUGCAGAUUAGAUUAGGAGCUUCCUGCGGGCAGCGACCAGCUCUGCUUCCUUUCAAUUUCCCUAGACACCUGCACACAAUAAAUAUUUGCUGAAUCGA